ACGGCUCAGUAACACGUGGAUAACAUGCCCUAAGGUGGGGGAUAAUCUCGGGAAACUGAGGGUAAUACCCCAUAGGUCUAUUUUGCUGGAAUGCUAAUAGGCCGAAAACUCCGGUGCCUUAGGAUUGGUCUGCGGUCUAUCAGGCUGUAGUGGGUGUAAUGGACCCACUAGCCCGUGACGGAUAUGGGCCUUGAGAGAGGGAGCCCAGAGAUGGACUCUGAGACAUGAGUCCAGGCCCUACGGGGCGCAGCAGUCGCGAAAACUUCGCAAUGGGGGCAACCCCGACGAGGGAAUUCCAAGUGCUAGCACUUUGUGUUAGCUGUUCUUCUGUCUAAAAAACAGGAGGAGUAAGGGGCGGGUAAGACGGGUGCCAGCCGCCGCGGUAAUACCCGCGCCCCAAGUGGUGGUCGAUAUUAUUGAGCCUAAAACGUCCGUAGCCGGUCUUCUAAAUCCUUGGGUAAAUCGGGCAGCUUAACUGUCCGAAGUCCGGGGAGACUGGGAGACUUGGGACCGGGAGAGGUCAGAGGUACUUCUGGGGUAGGGGUAAAAUCCUGUAAUCCUGGAAGGACCACCGGUGGCGAAGGCGUCUGACUAGAACGGAUCCGACGGUGAGGGACGAAGCCCUGGGGCGCAAACGGGAUUAGAUACCCCGGUAGUCCAGGGUGUAAACGCUGCGGGCUUGGUGUUGGGGGUCCUUAGUGGGCGCCCAGUGCCGGAGAGAAGUUGUUAAGCCUGCUGCUUGGGGAGUAUGUCCGCAAGGAUGAAACUUAAAGGAAUUGGCGGGGGAG
rnacentral:rRNA from 1 species